rnacentral:rRNA from 1 species
GACGAACGCUGGCGGCGUGCUUAACACAUGCAAGUCGAACGGUGAAGCGCCUUCCUUUUUGGUGGGUGUGGAUGAGUGGCGAACGGGUGAGUAACACGUGAGUAACCUGCCCCCUUCUUCUGGAUAACCGCAUGAAAGUGUGGCUAAUACGGGAUAUUCUGGGUCUGUCGCAUGAUGGGUCUGGGAAAGAUAUUGUUUCGGUGGGGGAUGGGCUCGCGGCCUAUCAGCUUGUUGGUGGGGUGAUGGCCUACCAAGGCGGUGACGGGUAGCCGGCCUGAGAGGGUGGACGGUCACACUGGGACUGAGACACGGCCCAGACUCCUACGGGAGGCAGCAGUGGGGAAUAUUGCACAAUGGGCGCAAGCCUGAUGCAGCGACGCCGCGUGAGGGAUGGAGGCCUUCGGGUUGUGAACCUCUUUCGCCAGUGAAGCAGGCCUGCCUCGUUUGUGGGUGGGUUGACGGUGGCUGGAUAAGAAGCGCCGGCUAACUACGUG